CACACACACACACACACACACACGAAACUCAAAAAAAUAGCAUGUUCAUUUAUUUCAGUAAUUCAACUUAAAAGGUGAAACUGAUAUACUGUAUAUAUUGGGGGGGUCACACCAAAGACUGAUGAGAUUUUACUUCUGUUCAUUCACUUCUUCUUCACUGCAUGUUGAUCAGAGUGAGCUUUGAAGGCCAGGUCUGUCUCGGUGCAGCACACAGACCAGGACUACAGGCCAAACCAGAACAGCUCAGCAAAAAGGCGUCCAGUACACAGAGAUAACAAGAUAACAGUGUACUCUGAUUACAUGAAAGCAUUCACCACCGUAGCACAGUACUCUGUGUGUACACAUAAAAGUAGUAAAGCUAUGUUUCCACCUGCUUUCUCCAUAGUCGUUACAAUCUCUUGAACUCAUGGUGAAUUGUUAUGAACAAGCUAAAACAAAAGUGGUCUGUAUUAUUUAUUUAUUUAUUUAUAGUGCCAGUUCAUAACAGAAGGUAGUUCUCCAUGACCCUGUAAAUACACACCGCCACAUACCCUACGCUCGUCACUUUACCUGUGGCAGUUGGUUUGGCUAGCGAGCAGGCUGCGUCAUUAGCUAGCUAAUGCUGGUGAGGACACCAGCUGCACCUCGCUUGUCUGUCGAUGACAGAUGCUGGGUCCAAGUAUGAAGUAGCCUGCGCACUGUGGAGGUACUUUGGUAAAAAAGUCCUGGAAAUUCAUUGGUCAAAAUGUGAAUGAACCCUGACUGUAGAAAUGUGUCUCAUGUCCUUCCUCUGCUGCAGAACGACCACAGAAGGUAAAGACAAAGUUUAGGUCAGUAAAACUGUCAUUUUUCAGGGACCAAUAAUGAGUGAACAACUUCAUGUUUUUCUGCAGCAGAGGAAGGACAGUUAACCCAUUUCCACAGUAAACUCCUUGGAACAGCCUGUUAGUUCACCCUCAGAAGCUUUGAUUGGACUAUAUUAUAUAAAUUAUAUAGAAUAUUAAUGAAGGCAGACGGAGCAGCAGGUCAUCAGCUGAUCCUACAGUGAAAUAAUGAACAAAACUCCUUCAUUUAUUUCUUAAUUUUAGAUCUGAAAAUGUCUAUUUUUGGUAAACAUGUUGUUUUUAACUUUGGUACCAUUUAAGUUUCUUCACUGGACUCAACUAGUUGGACCAGCGUUCAGCAGCCUAUGGCUGGCGUGCCAGUCUAGGCACGCAGAGACAUUAUAAGCGGCACGUGAGAAGCAAACUCAGUCCUACAGUAUCGACAUCUGCCGCUACGUUGUUUAAUAUGACACUAGUGAAAAAACUGAUGAUCGACCACCAUGAGGAAUUGACAUUAUUAUUAUUGUCAAGAUAAUAGAUUAGAAAAAAUAACACCUUUAAAUCUUAGCACAGAUUAAUCGUAGUACUUUGAUCGACUGGCCGGUCAGCGUCUGUCUGUCGGACUGGGCUAAACUAAAACAUUACAUUUAGGGGGGGAUUCGAGCGGCCCCUCCCAACUUGGACCGAUCCUCGGCACAACGGCGCCGAUCUAAGGAGUUUACUUUCCAUCCCGUUUGUGUGACAAGGGCAGCAGACGAUAAAUAUGAAAGAAGAAUUUAGGCAUUCAGCCUCCUGACUGACCGGACACUCGCCACAUGUUGGCAGCUGACGCUGGGCCUUCAGGGUUCCAGCUCAGCCUGAUCUGGAUCAGCAGCGGUGACUUGUUUAUUCAAACCCAGCAGGCAGGCAUUCUCCUGAAGUUUCAACACCAGAGAAACACUUUCAGGAUUUUUUAUAAAAAUUGUCCUGUUAUUGGAUAUGAACAGUGAAAAAAAGGUUAUGAAUUUGUGGGAAAUAAAAGAUGUUCAGCUAAAUAAGUUGGUUUUUGUCAUUGAGGCACUCAUCUACCAAAAUCUAUUUAAAUUUAAAUAUUUUAAAUGCUUAUCACGAAAUCAAUGUGAUUUAUUUCAAUGAAUUAAUUACAAGUUACAAAACUUGUAAUUAAUUGGAUUCAUUUUUUAAACGCUUGACAGCCCUAAUUAUUAUGUGUUUAUUAUUAACAAUUAAACUUCAAUCAAUAGUUUAAACUAUCAGUGCAAUGACAUUAACAAACACUGCUGGCACAGUGGAUGUCUUCAUCUGUAGUUCUCAGUCAGGGGUCGGCAACCUUUUCUCUCGAGAUGCACAAACAUGUCGGCGGUCCUGUACAUAGAAAUAUAAUCUGAACUGACCCUUUUUCUCUCUGCAGAUCAUCGUGUGGGGCGACUACGGUCGCAUGGAUCAUAAAUCCUUCAUGGGCUGCGCACAGAUCCUAUUGGACGACCUGGACCUGUCCAACAUGGUGAUUGGCUGGUUUAAACUGUUUCCUGCCACCUCAUUGGUGGACCCUGCCUUGGCCCCACUGACCAAUAAGGAGACAGAGGGCAGCAAGUCUUAGCAUCAGGAGGCGUGAUCGACUGUAUCACCAUAGUAAUGGUGCGGGACGGGAGGGGCGGGAGGCAGAGGCAGGACGUGUUGUUGGCGAGCAGAGUCUAACAAAAAAGUCCCAUGAUGCUGCAUGCUGCAUGAUGACAUCUCAGCGAUGAUGAAACAGCGUCACAAUGAGGUCACCGUGAGGAAGGAGGCUCCGCCCUUGACGAUAAAACAGUAAAAUGACCCCUCAAGUGGGAGCAGGGCCACACAGCAAAGGACUCUGGGAAAAGGAGACAAGAGGCCACGUGACCUCCAGCUGCCAGCCAACCGCAGCAGUUCCUCAGGAGUCAUGUGACUGUUAGAGGCAUGUUCAGAAGCCAUAGACUGAUAGUUUCCAUGGAGACACAGGAACAUGGAAGUCUGGUUCUUUGUUUUUGCAUGGAACAUUAGAACAUAAAAAAUAUCAACUGUGAAAAAAAUAAAGAUUCUCAAUGCUCAGCGGUUCUUUAAUGUGUUCUGUAAGGUACCACUGACAUGUUCUGCUGGGAUCAGUGAUAUGAUUCUGGUUCUAUAAAGUUCUGGUUCUACAGGUAUCAUGGACAUGUUCUGGGAGAAGUGAGAAGAUUCCAGUUCUUUAAGGUUCUAAAGGAGAACAGGACAGAAGGUUUCCCUGGCUGAGACCACGUGUUGGGGCACAAUAUAAAUAAAAUGUAUUUUGACAAUA